GACUGCUCAGUAACACGUGGAUAACAUGCCCUUAAGUGGAGGAUAAUCUCGGGAAAUUGAGGAUAAUACUCCAUAGAUCAUGAAAUCUGGAAUGAUUCAUGGUUCAAAGUUCCGGCGCUUAAGGAUUGGUCUGCGGCCUAUCAGGUAGUAGUGGGUGUAACGGACCCACUAGCCGAUGACGGUAUGGGCCUUGAGAGAGGAGCCAGAGAUGGAUUCUGAGACACGUAUCCAGGCCCUACGGGGCGCAGCAGUCGCGAAAACUUCACAAUGGAGGCAACUCCGAUGAGGGAAUUCCUAGUGCCAAUGCAUUUUGUGUUGGCUUUUCUUCAGCGUAGAUAACUGAUGGAAUAAGGGCUGGGUAAGACGGGUGCCAGCCGCCGCGGUAAUACCCGCAGCCCAAGUGGUGGUCGAUAUUAUUGAGUCUAAAACGUUCGUAGCCGGUUCAAUAAAUCUCUGGGUAAAUCGGAGGGCUCAACCUUCCGAAUUCCGGAGCGACUGUUGAACUUGGGACCGGGAGAGGCAAGAGGUACUUCUGGGGUAGGGGUAAAAUCCUGUAAUCCUAGAAGGACCACCGGUGGCGAAGGCGUCUUGCUAGAACGGAUCCGACGGUGAGGGACGAAGCUCCUGGGUCGCAAACGGGAUUAGAUACCCCGGUAGUCCAGGGUGUAAACGCUGCAGACUUGGUGUUGGGAACCCUUCGGGGGUGCU
rnacentral:rRNA from 1 species